CCCACCGCGAGCUACCCCUAAAAAAAAACCCACCGCACAUCACUCCCCUCUCUCCCCGCGCAGCGAACCCUAGCGCUCUCACCCUCUCAGCCCCGCACACCACUCCUCCUUCUGGAUCCACCGCCGCCGCCCUCUGGAUCUCGAAGCGCCGCUACUCCCUCCCUCCAGAUCGAGAGAGAGCUCGCCGCCGUCCUCCUGCUCUCGCCCCUGCCCUUCCCUCCCCUUAACCCCGAGGCGGCAACGCAGACGGCCAUCGACCUCGCCCACCUAAACCUAGCAAGAGGAGAGCGGCCAUGGAUCCGUCGAAGCUGAGCGAGCUGCACUCCUUCGUGGAGGAGUGCAAGAAGGACCCGGCGCUCCUCGCCGACCCCGCCCUCGACGCCAACCUCCCACCGCGGGGGUGGGGAAGACGGCCCAGGCGGCGGCGGCGCACGCCGCGCUCUUCUACUUCACGCUCCUCCUCGCGCUCAGGGUCGACGGCCGCGCCGACUCCUCCUGGUGUUGGCGUGGAUCCGGUGCUGCGUGGAGGAGAAGGAGGCCAUGGAGUCCUGCGGCCGCGACGAGGAGGAGCCCAGCGGCGGAAGAGGAGCAGGGGCCACCCGGCCAGGAGAUUGAGUCGAGGAAGCAGCAGCCGGAGAAGCCGAAGGGGGGGGGGGCGGGGGUGCGACGGGGUGCGGCGCCUGCUGCAAGCUAGACAAGGGCCUCGAGUUCCUCACCCCCGACAAGGACAAGGCGGACGGCCCUGACCACCUCCAGGUUAAUAUGAUGGAGCAUGCUGAAUUGCUGACCAUGAUCGUAGCUGUACAAGAGCAUGAUUGGCCCCGAUGGAUGGUGCACCAACUACGACAAGUCCAACUGAACCUGCAACAUCUACGAAGACUGGCCAUUCUUCUACCGGUUCGAACCGAAGGUUUUCAAAGAGUUCUUUGGUGUGCCAUGCAGCAAAUUCGACAGCGAAGACUGCAGUGGUUGUGUGGAUAACAUCAAGAUGGUGUAUGGUCAGGACUCUCCUAAGCUUGGACACCUCAUGCGGGUCAUAAGGGAGGAAAGUAGUAAGCAUGAAGCAAGCAUGAACCGGGUUACUGGUACCUGAUUGAUUAUGGAGUGUAGAGUACUCACUCACCGAAGCAGUUGAAAACCGGAACACAAAUACUGGUCUGGCAGCACCGCCGCGUCGACGACGAAGGUGGUGACCGCGGCGGCGAGCGGCGCGAGUUGGUGGCUGCGGGACUCAACGACACGGCUCAUAUAUGUGCUUCCGACUAAUCCAGCUUCUUCUGGUCUAGCUGGGCAUUACUUUGAGUUCAUAUAUGUGCUUGUCACUCCAUAGGUUGUAGUGAUUCCCUCUGUUUCCUUAUAUGUUCUUGUAGUUUGGUUGCUUUCCUGUUCAUGCAUGUUUGUACAGCUAUAUAUAGUUUUGCUGUGAAUCAAAGACGACAUGCUUUCCUGUUCACUCCGUAGGUCAUGUGCUUGUCACUCCAUAGGUUAUAGUUUUGCUGUGAACCUAGGCGUGCUAUGUGGGGAAGCAAAGCAGCAGGUCACAACUCCGGCCUGCAACUCCAGAUGAAGGCACUCCGACGACGCAUCAUGCUACUCCCUUGGAAGGUUGGCUCCUGGACCGGCUUCCUAGUCCGUGGCCUGCCUUCUGGAUGGAGCAAGGAGGGGGCAUCAUCCACACCGCGGAGCUGGUUGAGCCUUAUUGCGAACUAGAUAAGCAGGGCAUCGUCGGGGACAUCUCUCGCUUGUGCCAUGAUUUUGGCCUUAAUUCGUCAAAAGUUGCUGUACAAGGAACUACAGGAGAAGAAUCCUAAAGAAAACUUGCACCCAAAAUGUGUUUUAGCUCCCUGGAGCUGGACAUGUUAAUAUCUAGCUGUAUUUUAUAUUUCAAUACCUGAUUUGUACUGCUGUGAUUGUAAAGUACCUGCCAUGAUUUGGCUGUUGUUUGAAAAUUUACGUGUUAUUGGCUCUGUUUGAA